GACGAACGCUGGCGGCGUGCUUAACACAUGCAAGUCGAACGAAGCUUGAUUACGGAUUCUUCGGAUGAAGUAUGAUAUGACUGAGUGGCGGACGGGUGAGUAACGCGUGAGUUACCUGCCCUUCAGAGGGGGAUAGCGUUUGGAAACGAACGGUAAUACCGCAUAAUGUAUUUUGACCGUAUGAUCGAAAUACCAAAGAUUUAUCGCCGAAGGAUGGACUCGCGUCUGAUUAGGUAGUUGGUGGGGUAACGGCCUACAAAGCCGACGAUCAGUAGCCGGACAGAGAGAGUGAUCGGACACAUUGGGACGGAGACACGGCCCAGACUCCUACGGGAGGCAGCAGUGGGGAAUAUUGCACAAUGGGCGCAAGCCUGAUGCAGCAACGCCGCGUGAAGGAAGACGGUUGUCGGAUUGUAAACUUCUGUUCUUAGUGAAGAAUAAUGACGGUAGCUAAGGAGCAAGCCACGGCUAACUACGUG
rnacentral:rRNA from 1 species